rnacentral:rRNA from 1 species
UACGUAGGUGGCAAGCGUUGUCCGGAAUUAUUGGGCGUAAAGAGCUCGUAGGCGGUCUGUCGCGUCGGCUGUGAAAACCCGGGGCUCAACCCCGGGCCUGCGGUCGAUACGGGCAGACUAGAGUGCGGUAGGGGAGACUGGAAUUCCUGGUGUAGCGGUGAAAUGCGCAGAUAUCAGGAGGAACACCGGUGGCGAAGGCGGGUCUCUGGGCCGAUACUGACGCUGAGGAGCGAAAGCGUGGGGAGCGAACAGG